GGGGUCUAUGGGCUCGUUAUAGGCGACUGGGCACCUCCCGGGGUGGCCAGCCUUGCUGAAUUAUUCCACCCGUGUCUUUUGCGUACUUCUUGUUUCCUUGGUGGGCUCGCCCACCACAAGGACCAACCCAUAAACCUUUUUGUAAUAGCAAUCAGCGUCAGUAACAAUGUAAUAAUUUACAACUUUCAACAACGGAUCUCUUGGUUCUGGCAUCGAUGAAGAACGCAGCGAAAUGCGAUAAGUAGUGUGAAUUGCAGAAUUCAGUGAAUCAUCGAAUCUUUGAACGCACAUUGCGCCCUUUGGUAUUCCAAAGGGCAUGCCUGUUCGAGCGUCAUUUGUACCCUCAAGCUUUGCUUGGUGUUGGGCGUCUUUUUGUCU
rnacentral:rRNA from 1 species